rnacentral:rRNA from 1 species
GUGCCUUCGGGAACGCUCAGACAGGUUCNGCAUGGCCGUCGUCAGCUCGUGUUGUGAAAUGUUGGGUUAAGUCCCGUAACGAGCGCAACCCUUGUCCCUAUUUGCCAGCGAUUCGGUCGGGAACUCUAGGGAGACUGCCGGUGACAAACCGGAGGAAGGUGGGGACGACGUCAGGUCAUCAUGGCCCUUACGAGUAGGGCUACACACGUGCUACAAUGGCCGGUACAAUGGGCUGCAAUCCCGCGAGGGGGAGCUAAUCUCAUAAAGCCGGUCUCAGUCCGGAUCGGAGUCUGCAACUCGACUCCGUGAAGUCGGAAUCGCUAGUAAUCGU